rnacentral:rRNA from 1 species
UGGGGAAUUUUGGACAAUGGGCGCAAGCCUGAUCCAGCAAUGCCGCGUGCAGGAUGAAGGCCUUCGGGUUGUAAACUGCUUUUGUACGGAGCGAAAAGGUCUGCCCUAAUACGGUGGGCUCAUGACGGUACCGUAAGAAUAAGCACCGGCUAACUACGUGCCAGCAGCCGCGGUAAUACGUAGGGUGCGAGCGUUAAUCGGAAUUACUGGGCGUAAAGCGUGCGCAGGCGGUUAUAUAAGACAGGUGUGAAAUCCCCGGGCUCAACCUGGGACCUGCAUUUGUGACUGUAUAGCUAGAGUACGGUAGAGGGGGAUGGAAUUCCGCGUGUAGCAGUGAAAUGCGUAGAUAUGCGGAGGAACACCGAUGGCGAAGGCAAUCCCCUGGACCCGUACUGACGCUCAUGCACGAAAGCGUGGGGAGCAAACA